rnacentral:rRNA from 1 species
GUGAACGCUGGCGGUAGGCCUAACACAUGCAAGUCGAACGGCAGCACAGUAAGAGCUUGCUCUUACGGGUGGCGAGUGGCGGACGGGUGAGGAAUACAUCGGAAUCUACUUUUUCGUGGGGGAUAACGUAGGGAACCUUACGCUAAUACCGCAUACGACCUACGGGUGAAAGCAGGGGAUCUUCGGACCUUGCGCGAUUGAAUGAGCCGAUGUCGGAUUAGCUAGUUGGCGGGGUAAAGGCCCACCAAGGCGACGAUCCGUAGCUGGUCUGAGAGGAUGAUCAGCCACACUGGAACUGAGACACGGUCCAGACUCCUACGGGAGGCAGCAGUGGGGAAUAUUGGACAAUGGGCGCAAGCCUGAUCCAGCAAUACCGCGUGGGUGAUGAAGGCCUUCGGGUUGUAAAGCCCUUUUGUUGGGAAAGAAAAGCAGCAGGUUAAUACCCCGCUGUUCUGACGGUACCCAAAGAAUAAGCACCGGCUAACUUCGUG